GGCUCGAUUUCUGCGAUUUUUUCAGUGAUUUUUUUUCCAAUUUAUGGUUCGAAUUUUCAACUGCAAUUUUGUUCGAUGUUUUCCGAAUUUCCAAUAUUUUUGUACUCCAAUUUCAUCCACUGACGAUCUAAACAAACCAGGUUUUAGUCCCCCGACGUACGACGGAGUUAUCUCUGGCAGAGUUUUCGGCCGGAACUGGAAGCAGCCGAGGAAGCAUCGGUCGUCGGCAAUGGCGGUUAAUCGGAAGCAGGUGUCGUUAGAGUAGAAGAAGAGAGAUAAAGAGUUGAAGAAGGCAUACAAAGAGAGGAAGGAUGAGUCGAAGGAAGAGAUUCGGCUGCAGGUAAUUUUUUCCGGCUGAAAUUCUCUUCCUCCGCCGUCUUCAAUUACCGCUGCUAUGUCGCCGGCGGCGGCUUAUCUACUUGCGCCGCCUUCCAAACUCCUGUAAAUUCUGAAGGUCCUUCCUGUAUUUUUGUCGGUCCAGUCGAAACUUCCAGCCAAGAAACCCUAGAAUCUCUGUAUCGCCAGGCGAAAGAUUCGUAUUACAGUGGUAAACCGUUGAUAAUGGAUGACAUGUUUGACAGAGUUGAGGUGAAUUUGUUAAAAUGCUUUCUAAUUUUCUAUCAGAAACAAAUUUAAUUGAAUUUGAUGAAUUUCUGGAAUUUAAUGAUACAUAAGUGUUGUUGUGAUGGUGGAACAGUUGAAAUUGAGGUGGUAUGGAUCGCAAUACGUGAUGAAAUAUCCACAGUGUAGUUUACUUGAAUGGUAUUACGACUUUGUAUUUUGUUUGAAUACACUAUCUAAAUCCAGUGGAAAAUGAUGCAUUAUAUACUCCAAUCACUCCAUCAUGCAUAGCAGUAUAGCACUCUGAAUCUAAUUUUACAAGGCCUCGAUUAGUCAACUUGAUGUUGUUUGGCUAUCCCAAUUUUGGCAAAUUUCUAUACAAUCGGAGUGCACAGCUGAGGAGGCUUAUACAUGGCGUAAGGUAUAUAAUUAACAAAUGCAAUUUUUUUUCUUCUUUUAUGUUGAUUCUCCCCCUUCAUCUCAUUUGAAAUGUGCUCUUUUGUUUUUUUGUUAAGUACUUGGAGAUUGAAAAAUUGUAUGUUCUACAUUCUAUAUUGUUUAUGCCUCCGAAAAUAUGAAAAUAACUUGUACUAUUGUUCUACAACUUUCAGGACUGUUCAAUUUUUGCAAGUGGAAGUCCAUUUGAUCCUGUCAAAUAUGGAGGGAGAACAUUACUUGCCAGAAGAUUAAUCCGUAUGGAGCAUUGGUCCAAAUUGAUAUAAUUACCU